UGGGGAAUUUUGGACAAUGGGGGCAACCCUGAUCCAGCAAUGCCGCGUGUGUGAAGAAGGCCUUCGGGUUGUAAAGCACUUUUGUCCGGAAAGAAAACGUCGUGGUUAAUACCCGUGGCGGCUGACGGUACCGGAAGAAUAAGCACCGGCUAACUACGUGCCAGCAGCCGCGGUAAUACGUAGGGUGCAAGCGUUAAUCGGAAUUACUGGGCGUAAAGCGUGCGCAGGCGGUCCGCUAAGACAGAUGUGAAAUCCCCGGGCUUAACCUGGGAACUGCAUUUGUGACUGGCGGGCUAGAGUAUGGCAGAGGGGGGUAGAAUUCCACGUGUAGCAGUGAAAUGCGUAGAGAUGUGGAGGAAUACCGAUGGCGAAGGCAGCCCCCUGGGCCAAUACUGACGCUCAUGCACGAAAGCGUGGGGAGCAAACAGGAUUAGAUACCCUGGUAGUCCACGCCCUAAACGAUGUCAACUAGUUGUCGGGUCUUCAUUGACUUGGUAACGUAGCUAACGCGUGAAGUUGACCGCCUGGGGAGU
rnacentral:rRNA from 1 species